GACGAACGCUGGCGGCGUGCUUAACACAUGCAAGUCGAACGGAAAGGCCCUUCGGUGUUCGGGGGUUGCGAACGGGUGAGUAACAGGUGGGUGAGAUGCCCUGCACCUUGGCAUAAGCCUGGGAUACUGGGACUAAUGCCUAAUAGGACCAGGCGCUUCUGGGUCUGUGGUGGGAUGCGUUUGCGGUGGGGGUUGGGUCCGCGGCCUAUCAGCUUGUUGGUGGGGUGAUGGUCUACCAAGGCGACGACGGGUAGCCGGCCUGAGAGGGUGAGCGGCGACACUGGGACUGAGAUACGGCCCAGACGCGUACGGGAGGCAGCAGUGGGGAAUAUUGCACAAUGGGCGCAAGCCUGAUGCAGCGACGCCGCGUGGGGGAUGACGGCCUUCGGGUUGUAAACCUCUUUCGAUAGGGACGAAGCGCAAGUGACGGUACCUAGAGAAGAAGCACCGGCUAACUACGUG
rnacentral:rRNA from 1 species